AGCGAACGCUGGCGGCAGGCCUAACACAUGCAAGUCGAACGAAACUUCCGGGGUUAGUGGCGGUCGGGGGAGGAACACGGGGGAAGGUGCCUGUAGGUACGGAAUACUUCAGGGUAACUUGUGCUAAUACAGAAUGUGCUAUUCGGGGAAAAGAUUAGUCGCCCUUAGGGCGGCCGGGGAUGGUUUAGCCAGUUGGGUGUGGAAAUGGCUCACCAAGGCUAGGAGAAGUAGCUGGUCUGAGAGGAUGAUCAGCCACAUCGGGAGUAAGACACGGCCCAAAAUCCUACGCAAGGGGGGAGAGGGGAAUCCUGCGAAAUGGGGGAAGGCCUGACGCAGCCAUGCCGGGUAAAUGAUGAUGGUCGUAGGAAAGUAAAAUUCUUUCACCGGGGGCGAUAAUGACGGUACCCGGAGAAGAAGCCCCGGCUAACUUCGUG
rnacentral:rRNA from 1 species